GGGGAUAUGGCUCAGAGGUAGAGUGUCUGCCUGGCAUGCAUGAGGCCCUGGGUUCGAUCCCCAGCACCA
rnacentral:tRNA from 1 species